GAAAGUUCGGUCCUAAAAACAGCAACUCCAUACGCUGGAGGAAGUUUGGAUUUCAGUGCAGUUGCUGGAGCCUUCAAAUCAUGUUAGUUUUUUUGUUUGUUUGUUUUUGUUUUUGUUUUGUUUUUUUAGUGAAACCAUCGGUGAACGAACUGCGGGAGAAACUGUGUCUAUGGUGUCAUUUUCUUCCAUAACCAACAUAACCCGUGUUAAGAAGAAAAGGUCUAAGGAGGGUCUGGAUUAAAGUUAUACUAAGCGACAUAAUAAUUUUAAAACACCUUGUACGUUCCUUUAGCAUUGAUGCGCACCUGGAGCUCUGGACCUGACUCUAUUGCUCAGCACAGUGCAGUCUGAGUAUCGGACUUCUCCAGUUGGAAAAGACAAUGUGCAGUUUGGCACUGGAAUUCCAAGAUCACACAUCCCUAAGCUGUAAGAGUGAUCCGGCGAGUGUGACAUUCCUGCUGGACACUGAACUCGACACAGACAUCAAGAGAACCAUCCUUGCCCAGUCACCAUGGGAACCUUUGAAAAUGCUUCUGUGCGAAGUGUGAGA